rnacentral:rRNA from 1 species
CCUCCGGGUGGCAGCAGUGGGGAAUAUUGGACAAUGGGCGAAAGCCUGAUCCAGCCAUGCCGCGUGUGUGAAGAAGGCCUUCGGGUUGUAAAGCACUUUCAGUGGGGAAGAAAGCCUUGGGGCUAAUACCCUCGAGGAAGGACAUCACCCACAGAAGAAGCACCGGCUAACUCCGUGCCAGCAGCCGCGGUAAUACGGAGGGUGCGAGCGUUAAUCGGAAUUACUGGGCGUAAAGCGCGCGUAGGCGGUCUGAUAAGCCGGUUGUGAAAGCCCCGGGCUCAACCUGGGAACGGCAUCCGGAACUGUCAGGCUAGAGUGCAGGAGAGGAAGGUAGAAUUCCCGGUGUAGCGGUGAAAUGCGUAGAGAUCGGGAGGAAUACCAGUGGCGAAGGCGGCCUUCUGGACUGACACUGACGCUGAGGUGCGAAAGCGUGGGUAGCAAACAGGAUUAGAUACCCCAGUAGUC